rnacentral:rRNA from 1 species
GACGAACCGUGCAAACGUUACUCGGAAUCACUGGGCUUAAAGGGCGCGUAGGCGGUCUGCCAAGUCUUGGGUGAAAUCUUUCGGCUCAACCGGAAAAUUGCCUGAGAUACUGGCGGGCUCGAGGGAAGUAGGGGCCGUGGGAACGACCAGUGGAGCGGUGAAAUGCGUUGAUAUUGGUCGGAACGCCGGUGGCGAAAGCGCACGGCUGGGCUUCUUCUGACGCUGAGGCGCGAAAGCUAGGGGAGCAAACGGG